rnacentral:rRNA from 1 species
GAUGAACGCUGGCGGCGUGCCUAAUACAUGCAAGUCGAGCGAACAGAUGAGGAGCUUGCUCCUCUGACGUUAGCGGCGGACGGGUGAGUAACACGUGGAUAACCUACCUAUAAGACUGGGAUAACUUCGGGAAACCGGAGCUAAUACCGGAUAAUAUAUUGAACCGCAUGGUUCAAUAGUGAAAGACGGUUUUGCUGUCACUUAUAGAUGGAUCCGCGCCGCAUUAGCUAGUCGGUAAGGUAACGGCUUACCAAGGCAACGAUGCGUAGACGACCUGAGAGGGUGAUCGGCCACACUGGAACUGAGACACGGUCCAGACUCCUACGGGAGGCAGCAGUAGGGAAUCUUCCGCAAUGGGCGAAAGCCUGACGGAGCAACGCCGCGUGAGUGAUGAAGGUCUUCGGAUCGUAAAACUCUGUUAUUAGGGAAGAACAAAUGUGUAAGUAACUAUGCACGUCUUGACGGUACCUAAUCAGAAAGCCACGGCUAACUACGUG